rnacentral:tRNA from 1 species
GCGGGAAUGGCGGAAUGGCAGACGCGUGCGCUUCAGGUGCGUAUGAGCUUAGCUCGUGUGGGUUCGACUCCCAUUUCCCGCA